AAUGUGGUUCAUGAUGCAAAACUUUUUUCCCCGUCUUAUCGACCAUGGUGAAAACAAACUGAAAUUGCCAGUUUUGUCUGAAACCACAUU
rnacentral:snoRNA from 1 species